GUGUUUUCAACAGGGUUCAAACUUCUAUACUGCCUGUGACUGCAUCAGUGCAAUUAAUGCUGUCCACCUUAAAAUCUUUCUCUGUCUGCAUCUAAUGAACACAGAGCUGGCAAAAGAAAAGAGCUGGUUAAAACAGCCCAUAUAUGUACUUCUGGAGACCUUGAAGAUUCUGUGGAGAGGUUGGACUCUUUAUAAUACAUGAACUGGAUGUAUAAAUUUUAAAAAGGCUGGGAUCCUUUGUGCUACUCCUGAGUAGGCCUGUACUACCAAGGAGGUCUCUAAACCCAAGACGGUCUUUGUUGUCAACCUCCAGGUGGGGCCUGGUGAUUUUUGAGAACUGCAACUCAUUUCCAGAAUACAGAGCUGUCAUAACAGAAAGCACCAUCAUAUUGCACCUGCUACAGCAGCUGGACUGACCCUCCUCACAAUAAUGACAAGCAAGAAUGUCAGCUCUGAGAAAAUGACCUUGCAGAAGAAUGCCAACUCCUGGAUCAACUGGAAGUUAACCUCUCCUUGUUUUUUCUUCGUUCAUGUGCAAAGGAAAUAACUUUCUUCUCUUGCCUGGAACUCUCUCACAAAAUGCUUGUAUGGUGUCACUUCUCUCUUUCUCCAAAUUGCACCUUUUCCAUGCACCUUAACCUCUUCACCUUGAAGAUGCAGAUGAGCAACUUCAGGAAAUCACAGAUGACACAUACAAAUAAAAAUAGAACAUGGGGCUUCAGUCAUCUUUCAAAUAUGACAUCCAGCUUAUUAUUACCAUAUUGUGAUCUUCCAGAUGCGAUGUUUGUUCUUUCUGUAUAGAUAGCCAAAGAACCUCCUGUGUUUCCUUCAAUAGACCAAGAUUUCUAAAGGGUUAAUGCCCCUAUAUUGGCAAUGCAAGCCUUUGCUGAUAUUUCAUAUUGGUGAUAACACAGACUGCAGACAAGAAACUACAGACACACCUCCUCCAUCUGUGAAAACUGAUUUUAAUUGUAUCUCUGUAUUUUUCCUUUAAACAAGAUAAAUUGUUUAACAUCUGUCUUACUAGUAACCUGUUCAUAUGAAAGGUAUAUAUUUUGUGAAAUGUUUUUCAAAUGAAUGUAAAAUAUCUUUUAUUCCCUCAUAUUUUCAUACAUUAAAGACAAGCAUUUUCUUUUGUUCA